GUAACAAGGUUUCCGUAGGUGAACCUGCGGAAGGAUCAUUACAGUAUUCUUUUGCCAGCGCUUAAUUGCGCGGCGAAAAACCUUACACACUAUGUUUUUUUAAUUUGAAACUAUUGCUUUGGUCUGGCUUAGAAAUAGGUUGGGCCAAAGGUUUUAUCAAAACUUCAAUAUUUAUUAUUGAAUUGUUAUUUUUAAUUUUAUGUCAAUUUGUUGAUUAAUAUCAAAAAUCUUCAAAACUUUCAACAACGGAUCUCUUGGUUCUCGCAUCGAUGAAGAACGCAGCGAAAUGCGAUAAGUAAUAUGAAUUGCAGAUUUUCGUGAAUCAUCGAAUCUUUGAACGCACAUUGCGCCCUUUGGUAUUCCAAAGGGCAUGCCUGUUUGAGCGUCAUUUCUCUCUCAAAUCUUCGGAUUUGGUUUUGAGUGAUACUCUUAGUCAGACUAAGCGUUUGCUUGAAAUGUAUUGGCAUGAGUGGUACUAGAUAGUGCUGAACUGUUUUCAAUGUAUUAGGUUUAUCCAACUCAUUGACCAGUAAAGUAUUUGUUUAUUACACAGGCUCGGCCUUACAACAACAAACAAAGUUGACCUCAAAUCAGGUAGACUACCCCAGUUCCCUU
rnacentral:rRNA from 1 species